rnacentral:siRNA from 1 species
UGGGGUGUAGAUUGUUAGGACUUC